rnacentral:lncRNA from 10 species
GCUGAAACCUGCUGCAAGUCUGACGGAGCUUCACAAUGUGGUACCACACCUGGAAACCUCCAGAACAAGAUCUCAAGGAAACACAGGAAAUUCCUGAAACAGCAAAACCCCCUAUGUGAAGACGUCUGUUAUUCCUUUGUGUAUCAGGAGCAUCACUGUUAAUUAACUGUUGAUACACUUAAAACAGCUUGGUUGGCAAUGUCCUUUUUGAAUAAAGAAGAGCCAGGUGUGUUUUUCAGGAUGAACUAGACAAUGCUGUCACAAGUUUACCUCUACAUCUUAUUGCCUUGGAAAAAUUUCCUGCAUAUCGUGGCACAAGAUGGUUGGCUCUCCAGGCAGCAGUUGGCGUUGUGAAUCAGUCAUCUCAGCAUGUGUCUCCAAGAUCCCACAGCAGGGGGAAAAAGAGGUGGAGGGUCACAUGCCUGGUGUUACAUACUUUGAGGCAGAGGUGGUAGGUGCCAUUUCUGCUCACAGCUCAUGGACCAGAACAAAGCCAUGCAUACCUGAGAGAGGACCAGAAAAUAUUCUGAAGCAGAUGGCUAUUUGGUCCGUGUUCUGACUAAAAGGAAGCCACACUCUGUCGAAAACAAGCUUUGUAAGAAAAUUUUGAAGUAUUUACUUAUAUCUAACCAUUCAUUCCACCUUUUCUCCCAAAUAACACUCUAAUAUCUUGAGACAUCUUGUCUAGGGCCAGAUUUCAUAAAUGCUUGUGAGGCAGGAGAAUAAGUUCCAGAGGCAGUUCACACUGCCUAAAGCCAAUUCACACUGACUUCCUAUAACUAAAUCUAAAGGAAAAUCUCAACUUUCCUCGCCCAAGUAACAAAAGAAUCAGAGGUUAUACUCCCUUUGCAACCUGCCCCUUUUCUGCCUGGCAGAUGAAAAAUGAAAAGUACCUAUGACUGGUCCCCUCCCACGACCAGCCAGACUGGUCACGGAUCACUACUUCAUUUACAUAGGGCGUAAACCGAGUAACCAAUGGGAAACCUCUAGAGGGUAUUUAAACCCCAGAAAAUUCUGUAACCGGUGGUCUCCAGCAGGUUGCUCAAUCUUGCUGCCACUCUGUGGGAUGUACUUUUGUUUCAAUAAAUCUGUG